rnacentral:rRNA from 1 species
UGCGAGUCUGAGCAUUAGCUCGGCGUACCGCUCAGUAACACGUGGGUAACCUGCCCUACCGUUUUGAAUAACCUCGGGAAACUGAGAACAAUACAUCAUAGUCCACUACGCCUGGAACGGUGAGUGGAUGAAGGUAGGAUGGGCCUGCGGCGUAUCAGGUUGUAGGGGGUGUAAUGGACCUCCUAGCCAUCGACGCGUACGGGUGUUGGGAGACAUAGCCCGGAGAUGGAUUCUGAGACACGAAUCCAGGCCCUACGGGGCGCAGCAGUUACGAAAACUUGGCAAUGCGGGAAACCGUGACCAGGGAACUCCAAGUGAGUCUCUUUUAGGGGCUCUUUUCUUGACUCUAAAACGGUCUUGGAAUAAGGGGUGGGUAAGGACGGUGCCAGCCGCCGCGGUAAUACCGGCGCCUCAAGUGGUCGUCGCUUUUAAUGGGCCUAAAACGUCCGUAGCCGGUUUGGUACCUUCCGUGGGGAAAUUCCGCUUCGCUCCACGAAUUGAAUUUCUGCGAAGGACCGGCCAGAAUUAAGGACCGGGAAAAGUGGGGGGAACUCUCCAGGGAAGGGGUAAAAUCCCUGUCCUCCUUGAGAGGAACCACCUUGUUGCCGAAGGGCGCCACACUAGAACGGAUCCCGACGGGUCAGGGACGAAGCCUAGGGGCACGAACCGGAUUAGAUACCCGGGUAGUCCUAGGUGUAAACGCUGUGGACUUGGUGUUGGGGAAGCCCAGAGCUUUCCCAGUGCCGUAACGAAGUGUUGAGUCCACUGCCUGGGGAGUACGGUCGCAAGGCUGAAACUUAAAGGAAUUGGCGGGGG